rnacentral:lncRNA from 1 species
CACGACGCCGCCGUGGCCAUCCCCCUUGAUCCGACGAACCACCACCUAGCUAGGAAUCUGCAGUAUCUAGCUAGCUCCAACUGCAAGUCGACGUGCAGGUGCAGGUGGUGUAAAUUCGUCGAACAGUACGCGUGCAAUUUAAUCUCGGAUCGAGCGUGUGGGGGUGGUGAGGCGGGCGUUGCCUUUUAAAAGUGGAGAGGAGACGCAGUCGCGCAGCCGGAGUUGGCGAGCAGGUGCGACGAGUCUACUCUAGUAUUCUCUUCUCCGCCGCGUGUGGUGCGAGUGGGAAAACGUGG